rnacentral:misc_RNA from 1 species
UAAUAAGUGUUUUAUGGCACUUUUUAAAUCCAUAUCCACCUUGUGUGCAACGUCAGUCGAUCUUCUUCAUGGAGAUCGACCAAACAUCAACCUUUAUUUUUUAACUCUUUGUCUGAAAAAUAUUCUGAAUAAACAAUUCAAAAUA